AACGAACGCUGGCGGCAGGCUUAACGCAUGCAAGUCGGACGAGCUCUUCGGAGUUAGUGGCAGACGGGUGAGUAACGCGUGGGAACCUACCUUUAGGUACGGAACAACAGUUGGAAACGACCGCUAAUACCGUAUGAGCCCUAUGGGGGAAAGAUUUAUCGCCUAAGGAUGGGCCCGCGUUGGAUUAGCUAGUUGGUGGGGUAAAGGCCUACCAAGGCGACGAUCCAUAGCUGGUCUGAGAGGAUGAUCAGCCACACUGGGACUGAGACACGGCCCAGACUCCUACGGGAGGCAGCAGUGGGGAAUAUUGGACAAUGGGGGCAACCCUGAUCCAGCCAUGCCGCGUGAGUGAUGAAGGCCCUAGGGUUGUAAAGCUCUUUCAGCGAGGAGGAUAAUGACGUUACUCGCAGAAGAAGCCCCGGCUAACUUCGUGCCAGCAGCCGCGGUAAUACGAAGGGGGCUAGCGUUGUUCGGAAUCACUGGGCGUAAAGCGCACGUAGGCGGACUUUUAAGUCAGGGGUGAAAUCCC
rnacentral:rRNA from 1 species